CGAGGUCCUCGCGGAUCCCCACGAGGGAAGGAGGGGGAGCUGGAGGUGCUGCAGCGCUUCUGUCGAGGCUGCUCUCCCGGUUAGAGGUGGACUCGCUCAUAACAAAAAAAAAAGCACUGCUUCACUGAGAAGUUGACGGGCUUAAAAGCAAUGCAAUACACGGCCUUCCUAUAACCUUUUGCUGCACCGAUCACCGUUAAGAAAUGAUGAGCGUUGAGAGGAAAAACGGGGCCUUGGCUCUCUUUGCAUCACCUCAGGAGUGAAAGCCUUCAGAAAACCACCAGGUUUUGCAAGAGCUGCCAUGAAGUGCAAGCACAGCUGCCAUGGAGACCGGGCCUGGCGUCGCCCGCUUUCCCACUUACACCCCCGCCAGCAAGGCUCCAGCCCAGUGAGUUAUUGCAGUAAUUAAUAGCCAGCACUUCCACGUAGUCAGAACGCUUUACAAACAACACCUAACCUCACUGAAUCACAAAUGGCCGUGUUGUCAUCCUGUCGUGGGAUCAGUACCGUUACUGCUUCCUUCAAUAUCCCUGCUGGCAUAGUGGGCAACCCAGAGCUGCCACCAGAUAGCACCUGGUAGAGAGCACAUGCACCAGGGUACUAAGCAUAUCUGAGCAGUCCAGAUGAAAUGAAGACUGCCUACAAGGAGAACAGUCUCUCCUCCUGUGUGCUGGUCUUGUACCAGGAUAAAUAACAGGAAAACAAAGCGCCAAAUGCCAGCCUUCCACAGGUUGGUCUACCGGUGAGUGGAAAGAAUGUGAAUGGAAAGAAUGCUUCACCAGCUUUGGAACUGCUAGAUUUGGAACCUCAAUGACGUUCAACACAGAAAUAAAGGAAGAUUCGAGAAAGAUAAGAAUGUAUUUUUUAACAAAGAAAGCAUAGACAACUCAGAAAUGGCAAGCAAAGGUCAAUUUUCAGUAAGUGAUUCUUCUCUAAAGCAGGAGAUAGAGUAACUUGUCUGAUAGAAUAAGCCUCCCAGUACUCUGUACCCAAGUGGCAGAUACAGGGGGCUGGCAACACAAAUUUUGAAAGACACCAUUCAGAUCUUCAUCAAAUCCUUCAAAGAAACUUCAUAGUGGGUUGUGAGGAAAGAAGAACAACAAAGCAUGGGCCAAAAACUAAAAGAGAUGAAACAGGAGAACAAAUGGUCAUUUAAAAUGACGGUGAAAAGCCAGAACAGUGGAGUGUAUGUAAGAUCUUGUGACAGAACAUGUGUUGUAACCACCCUUACAAACAGUCUAGAAAAGGGCUGUACAGAAGAAAAAAACACUUGUAGAGGACACGAGAGCGUGGGAUGGAUGGAGAAGAUAUUCAGGGUGACCCAACAGUGCAGAACAUGAAGCAAUAUGACAAACUCAAGCAUGAAAUAUAAAACGGCUGAAGCAUAUCAGAGCAUGGGAAAAUAACUCCUGAUGAAGUUCUGGAUUGCAUUGUUACAGGGAGAAAAAGAAAUUCAUAGCCCAUCACCUUCCAACGAUGACCAAACCCACAGUUUAUAUUUCUCUUAAGUUCCACCAGGUUGAUUAAGCCCUGGAUAAAACAGAUGCUGGGGUGACCUUUCCCUUGAGAAGGGCAGCCAGCUUGCCAUGAACUGCACCGGAGCCAGCUGUAAGUAGGGCAGAUGUAACACCGUUGGACUCCUCCACGUUCACAAUCAGCUGAUGUGAGACCUCCAAGCUGCCAUUUGGAUGAGUCCACCAGAGCUGCCCUCACCACCAAGCACAUCCUGCCUGUGACCACAGUCAUCUGCAACCAUCUUACUGGAUGGUAUAAAAUCCUCAUUGUCAAUAUAAAAUCUCAAACUAUUUCAUUGCACCCCGCUUUGUGUUGGUGGGGUCAGAACCCAAAGUACUGAUCUGCUGACUGCCUGAUAAUCCCACAGCCAGCCCUACCACCUUUAUGCCAAAUUAGGAAUCACAUAAUUGAAGCAAAAGCCAUUUUAAUUGUUUAGGAUAAGAAAAAGGCUAAAAAAGGAAAAAAAAACCAAAAAACCCCAAAGCAGAAGGGCAUGUAUGAGAGAAUGACAUAAAUCCCACAGGCUUGUCCCAGUUAGAGAGAAUAAAUCGGUAUCAGCAUAGUAACACAGUGGCUCCUCUGGGUGCAGUCUCAUUUCUAUUCUUGCCUUUGAAAAUCCUGUUUGUUACCCACAAGCAAAGCCAUGCCUGGAGCUGGGACUGCCACCCAGCUUCUUCUAGGAAUGACUGUAAUUUACAUUCAGGCUCUCAGCAAUUAGUGGCUAAUGAGAUAACUUCAGUAGCUUCUAACUUCACUUGAAAAACCAACGCCAACAUUAUAACCUUAAAUGGCUUUUAACCCAGGAUUUCUCAUCUCUGGGAUAACUGAUGCUCUCUCCUCACGCUGAUACAUCUUAGCAGCAAACACGGGAGCUCUGCUAACACUCAGCUUGUGUCACUAACCAGAACAGGAAAUGCUUUGCAUACAGGUGGGAGCAUUAAUGUUUGUGAUAUUAUGCUAACUCCCUAGGGGACAGUCAUUAUGGCAAAAAAAAAAACCACAAUCUAGCCCUUCAGGAAAAUUUCCUGGCAGCUGUUAGACCACCAACGCAUUGGCAGAAGCCUCAUAAAAACACGUCAGCAGUGAUUGAACAGAGCAUUCCUGUGCACGCAAUAGUGAAUGGCGAAAGGGACGCAGCACACUGCCUCCUCGGCCCUUCUAUCUCCCCAUUUUAGGAAGGCAGCUUACUCCAGCAUCACAGUUGUCAAGUCAGCAGUUGGGGCAGAUGGACUUUCCUUUUUCAGCUCCGUAUUUUGCCAAAGCCACGAUCUGGAAUCUACCCGCAGGGAAUGGAUUUCUUUCAAGAAAAGAAAAAAGCCCACAAAAAGCCAACCGUGCUAUUGAGGGAGUAGCAAUUUCUCUGCCCUUCAAUCAACCCCGAAAGAGAUGCUGCAUGCUUUAUCAGAUUUCCUAGCUUUAUUGGUUGCUGUCGCAAUGACUUUCUAAACACAGUUCCAUAAAGCACAGAUCUUGGCAUAGCAGGGAACUACCAUUCACAGUUUCCCAGUGAUGGAGAAAAAAUCUGAAAGACAGCGCUUCACUUAACCCCAGUUAUGAGAGUUGCGAUCGGAUCUGAGUUCUACCACAAUUCGUGAGCCUAAGAAACACCCAGCAACAUAAAACAGCCAUUUGUGGUGGUUUCUGGUGCUAGCAGGAAAAAGGAUACCAGUUCUCCUCUUUCAUUGCCUUCCCUUCAGGGGAGUCCUGAAAAGAGUCCUUUGAAAGAGCUAAAGGAACCAGCACACGCUGAGAUUUUACUGGAGAGCAAAGCUUUGAACACUGAACAGGGACUGUUCAACCACACGUGAGACAAAGGGAAAAAGGCAUGCCUGUUUGUAGGCACGAGUUUAUGUGCACUGUGGGGUCAAAGGGGAUGGCGCAGGUGCCCCCAGGUAUCCCAGUGAAGUUGGAAGCAUAAGUUAAUUCCCUGACAAAUGAGAACUGAAAUCCACCCAUCACCUUUAAAAAGCCUUUACAAAGCAGCUUUUUUACUGGACGUUCCUGGCUAGUGUCACCUGUAAGGACAAUUCCUCCUUACGGAGACAAUGCUGGCUCUGCAAAUUGACUUUAUGCACAGAAAUCUGCUGCUGCAUGUGCACGGGGUGUCACAGCCCAGCCAGCUGCUGGGCAGGGGAGCAGUGCCCGCGGCUCCAGCUGGAAGGCUCACCCUCUAAGAAAGAGAGAAAACAGCAGCCAGCAAAUGUCCCCUCCUUCCCCUAGCACUGCGUUCCAGAUCAGGAGAUGUCACGAGCUGUGUAACUCUCAGUAAUUGUUUGAUUACAUGCAUUAGUGUUAUCUGUUUGUAAAUACAGUGGGUCCGUAAUUCCAAAAAUUGAUUUUAUCCCAUGUGAUUCUAAAGACUGGGAGAAUAUAAAAGAGUAGUGGGUUUAGGGAGGCAAAACAUCCCUCCCAUCAACAUAACAGCUGCUCCUACAGUAACAAUGCAUGAACUGCUUUCAGGUAGGGUCCAGGAUGAAUAAAUGCAGCUACCACUUCGCUGUAGCUCUUCCUCCUUCACUGCAUGCAGGAUUUCCUCCUUGCCAAGCAAAUAAGAACUGCUCUCAACAUCUGUACCCUGCUGCAAGCAGAAGCCUGGAGAGGCUCUGUACAGCUCAUGUUUCAUUCCGCAUUAGCUUCUGCCAUCAUCUGUCAUUCUUCACUGACAGUGCCAACACCAGGCAUUUGUCCCUCAAGGUCCCUUUCUCUCCAUUAUUAAGGUGACUGCCCUUAGGGUCAUACAACAAAGCCAGAAGAAGCCUAGAGGUGUGGAGAACCUCUAUCCUGAGGGCCCUGCUCCUGCCAGCUACACUGGAGCCUGCUGUAUGGAUAGUAAUUUCUCUCCUUCAACCAAAGCUGCUCUGCUGUUGAGCUGGGCUGACUCAGCAUACUGGAAAGUGGGUUCAGGUCCACAGAACUCACAUUUCCAGUUGUAUCAGCAGAUUACAUGUUCCCAUGGAGCUCAGUACAGACAAGGUAUUCAUACUUCUGCAAGAAGAACUGAGGGGAGCCAGGCUUCAUGUCUACAAGCAAGCUAUUUG
ensembl:lncRNA